CCCUGGUGUCUGCUUUUUACGCCCAGUUUAGGGUGGAUGCUGGGGGUUAAGGAUCCCGGGCGCGCUCCAAUGGCAUGGAGCAUCCGACCCGGUUUCCGUGGAGACCUGGUAUUGUGCGACGAAGUCUGAGAACUCCUAUGGUGGAAGCCUCUUCGCGUACGGGCCGGGAUUAGAACCUGCAAGGUAGUGCACAGAAUCGUGUGCUGCGUGCAGCGUAGCCUGCCUUGAAGUGAGUAUGAGGGGAAAAAGGAUCAGUCGUCCGGCAGCUAUGGCCAUAGCCGCUGACGAUAUUGCCUUUGGAAACCAUCCUUGCAAAAGAGGCUAAGAUUAUGGUUUAUUCUGUUGUGGAAAUCACCUAGACUGUCGUAACUGGGCAGGCAGGGGAUUGCGGUACGGACUAAGUGGCAAUCGGGUAGUCAAAUUGGCGACAUUUGAAUGGAUGGAUCAAAUGGAAACGGCCUGUGCGGUAACGGCAGGUUCUGUCCAGGGAAAACCAACCCGACCUAAGCCGUAAGAUUGAUCCUGUCUGCUGCCGUCACCAUAUUU
rnacentral:sRNA from 1 species